AACUGUGCCUAACUUUUCCUGGUCUGAAGAAUGUUUAACUGUUUUCAUAGAACGAAUCUUCUCUCUUACAGGAUGGAAGCAGUAAAAGCAUCCAACUGCACCAAGUGGAGAAUGGGAUAAGGCACAAACACUGCUAUGUCAGAGCCUCAGGUGCAGCCAAUACUUAAUAUUAUCUGUAGUAUAAAUUGGCCUGUUUCUCAGCCUUCCCUGCAGUCGCUUUGAGAGCCAGGAUGCUGGAGUCCAAUGAUUCCUUGGAGGUUUAUCCCAGAGGAAUAUUCUCCUUUAUCUACAAGUGGAUUCCUUCUCUUACACAUGGGGGUGGGCGGAGGGGACUCCUGAUUUCAUGAGUAAUUUUGAAUUGGAAAACUUUCUACAGUCCAUUGGAAUGAAAGCAAGAGAAGUGAACUCCUGCACUGGUAUGUAUUUGAGAGCAAUGAAAUCUCUUCAGUACAAACAUUCAUAUGCAUUUUUUUUCCAUAUGCAUUUUAAAAGACUAGAAAAGACAUAAUUCUCAUGCUUUAAAAAUGAACCUAUAGUUACACAGAGAAAUUGGCAUAUGUAUAUUGCUCCAUCUUUUCCUGAGUCUCAUCAAAUACAAUAUACCACAUCUAUAUAGUCCUGGAAAGCUGGAACCUAUACGUCUAGAAGAUGUAUAAUUAAGUUAAAAUAACUUUAAAAUAGCCCAGAAGUAAAUGUUCUAAAGUAACUUGGAUUUAAGGAGCUCUUUAACUGCAAUCAGAGCUUGCAUGGUGCUGGACACCACAAUUCUGAAAGAAAAUUAGAAAAUGUAGAAGCCUCUGUGAGUAAAGAAUUAUAUGGGGAAGCUAAAGAAAUAAAGUUGUAAUGUAAAACA
rnacentral:lncRNA from 1 species